GCCUUCAGACUCAAACUAAACGUCAGCUUUUCCCGGCUCUCAAGCCUGCUGGUCCCUGAACUAAAACUCACAUUAUCAACUCUACUGGUUCUUAGGCCUUUGGAGUCAGACUGGAACUACAGCAUUGACUCUUCCGGAACUCCAGCUUACUGACUACAGAUCUUGGAACUUUUCAGCUUCCACAACCAUAAUGAAAGCCAAGCAUAUUCCAUCAUUUCCUAAAACCAAGAUAGAGCACAUAUGGGAACUUGUGAAAUAAGGAUGCCCUGCGGUUGUUUUCAGGACUGAAGACAACAGCUCCACGAUGUAUCUUUGCAUAAGAAUACACUUGUAUAAUAAGUUUUUUUUUUUAGAGAAAUUGCAUGUAUCUGCCUUAUAAACUUUUUCAUUCAUUCAUUUUCUUUCUUCCUAAUCUGUUCCAUAAAGCAAAUUUCUAACUUAUUGUUAAUCAAAAUAAUUAUUGAAAUAAUUAGUACUUUCAUAUGAUAAAGAUUAUUUUAAUCUGCAGCUACAAAAUAUGUAACUCAUUAAUAUUUAAACAAUCACAAUUUUCUAUUAACAUUAUAGCAUUUUAUCUACUACUAGAUCAGGAAUUAGCUAUUUUUUGUAAAAUUUCUUUGUAAGGCAAAGCAAUAGUAUUGUAUAUACUUUCCUAAAGAUUGUCAAGUUCAGUUUUGCUUAAAUUUAACAGUACAUGUGACACUUUCUGUUUGAAGAAUAAGUUGGUUUUAAGUUUAUACCAAACAAAAGCAUCUCUUUUGUUUUGCAAAAUCUGAAACUUUGAUCUUUCUAGUUGUGACUUCUUGUAAAUAUGUUUUAUAUAAAUAUUCUAUGAAUUGGUUAUUAACAAGGUAAAGAAAGAUUGAUAUGUAAGCUGAUUCUUAAACAUUAAUUUUCUGGAGAUAAACUUUUUUAAAAUUAUGCUUUAAAAAUAUUUUAACACAUGUUAUCAAAAAGGAACUGAAAUAUCUUAGGCAUAAAAGACAUCUCUAGAGGUCAUUAUUCAGUUUCCAGAAAGUACUGAAACUAUCUCUGACAGAUUGAUACGUUUUCUGCAUUUAUAGCUCUCUGGAGAGAGGUUCUGUAUAUUUAACAAUUCUCACUGUGAGGGAUAUUUUAAGUAUUUCAAAUUUAAAGUGCUCAUGUUUCAGAUUCAGAUUAUUAUUAUCAUCAUCAUUAUUUUGGUUCUGGCUUCAGUAAAAAUGUGAAAAACACUUUUCCAUCUUCUGAUAAUAUUUCAUAUUUAUAAAAUUAUUAUUAAGUUAUAACUCAGCUUUUUCAUUUAUGCUUUAAAUCCUUUUAUUAUCUCAUCACAACCAUCUUUGACUGUUUAUCAGAAAUGGUUCUCUUUUGUACAUUGACCAUUAUUUUAUAGAUCACAUUUAAGUUAAUAUAAAUCAUGCCUAUAAAUUUCAGCCUGCUUAUUUUUUAUAAUCUAGUCAGAUAUCAGCUAGACAUAUUGUUACCAAGUUUGGAGAGCCUUGGGAUAAGCUAGUUUCAAAACUGGCUGUUAGCAUCCCUCAGUUGUGUUUUGGGAGCAAAGGACACCCUUAAAAAAGGGAGGCAGUUAUAUUUUGUGAGCAUUAUAAAAUAAACUUAAAUUCUCAUAAAAUUAGUGAAUAUGUUUGGAACAGUGUGAAUUACGUGUGUGCUACAUGAAGUAUAUAGAAUUCAUUUGAAGUAGGAAGUCUGGCCUUACCUCAAAAGACAGUCAUUCAAUUAAGCAGUUAAACAUAAGCCACCAUAAGAAGUUUUUUUGAUACUUAGAGAGAGAAAGGCAACGUGUAUUAAAAUUCCGGGACCAUUAUCUCAGGAGUGCUGUGUUAUUAUUGACUGGGGGCCUGCUGGGAAGCUAGAAAUAUAUCUAAAAUGUGGCAGGUGGUUAAUUAGAGCAUAUGAAUAAAUAUAUAUAAAUUUGUUAAAGCGUUCACUUAUGGUAAACUAUACCUCAAUUAAAAAGAAAAAAUAUGCACAAAGAAAAUAAAUAAUGAAUGGAAAUAUGAGCCUCUAAAAUCAAAGUUAGAAAAGCAGAUAUUCAAAUUUGCAGAGCUGAUUGUCAACUGGAAUGAUUGUGAUAGAAUCAAGUCUCACUAGCUCAUUGGAAAUAGGAUUUGUUAAGGUAAUGAUGGUUAAUGAUUUUUCAGCAUAAUAACAGCCAAGUUAAUGUAUGGGUGCGUGUGUGUAUCCAUAGGUGUAUGUUUUUACAUGCGUAUUUUUAUUGUAAAAUUAACAUGUUUAUUGAAAACAAGAAAGCACAGAAAAUAUCAACUUAAGUAAAGAUCAACAUAAUUUAGUUCAAAAUUAUAUUCAACAGUGCAUUAUUUCAAUGUUUUUUAUCUUAAUCCAUUUGCUUGAAAGCAUUGAUAUAUGCUCCAAAUUUCCUCCCAGAUUCCACUUGGGGAAAUAUUUAGUAUAUUGGAUUAUGAAAUGAUUUAUCUUUACCUAUAUUAUUAGUAAAGUUCUUAAAAUUUUUAGCCUGUUACUGUCUAUGUGAUUAGUGAUAUUGUUCACAUGACUAAAAUUCAAAGAUAAAAUAUGAUUAUAUUUUAUGGGUGAAAGUUAGGAAGCAAAAUAGCAUAUUAAUACAUUUAACUAAAGUAGUAUUCAUUUGGAUAAUCAAGGUCAAACACUUCAAAAAUAAUAAUUUUAAAGUUAAUGCUUUCAAAAAAUAAAUUAGCAAAAAUUAUUUACUUUGUUUCUUAAAAAGAAGAAUUAUUGAAAAAAAUUCUACCAUCAAAAAAUAGUUGUUCUAUGCCUAGUUUAUUUUAGUCACUGAAUAAGACUGAGCCCUUGACCUCAUAUUUUUUCCUGCCUCACCAUUAGCAGUUAGGUUUAGCUAUGCAAACCUUUAUUUAUUCAACAUAUAUAAAAUACUUAGUAUGCAGUAGAUGUUAUUCUAAGUGCUUGGUAGAUAUCAACACAUUUAAUAAUCAAAACAACUCUAAGAGGUAAUUAGUACUAUUAUCUCCAUUUUAUUACUGAGGAAACCAAAGCACAAAGAGAGAAAGAAAAGAAAGAGAAAAAAGGAAGAAAGAAAAGAAAGAUGAAAGAAAGAAAGAGAAAGAAGAGAGAGGGAGAGAGAGAAAGAAAGAGAAGGAAAGAAAGAAGGAAGAAGAAAGAAAGAAAGAAAGAAAGAAAGAAAGAAAGAAAGAAAGAAAGAAAGAAAGAAAGAAAGAAAGAAAGAAAAAAGGAAGGAAGGAAAAGAAACACAUGGAAAGUGCUUCUUUGGACCUUUUAAGUUGCAUUAUCCCAUAAAAUGUGGUGGAUUCAAUGUUGUAUGGCCUGUAAAACUAAGUAAUGAAGGCUGAUAUGUACCCACCUGGCUCUGUCUUGGGAUCACACAACUUGGGAGCCAAAACAGUGAGACUUAUAAGAAUCUCAAGGAUGGUGUCCCAAGGCAAACUCAUGGCAAGAUCAAGAAAGAGAAUGGCCUGUCUUGACAAGAUUUGUGGUUUUGGCUUUCGUCUGAUGGAAUGAAUUGUACACAAAUACACAGAAAUCCCACAAAUAUUAAAAUAAUUGUAUCAACUUGUAAGAAAAAGGGAAAGAAAUAGCUUAAAAUGGAAUAUUGCUAAGCCCUCAAACCUUUACAAGCAGGAAAUAGGUGUAAACAGGCUUAGGAAAAUGGAAGGUGGACUCAGGGCAGAUUGAGGAGAUCUUGGAGUGCAGCAAAGAGCCAUAGAGAGCAAUUUCCAGGGAGUAGGACUGAACUCUAACCAAAUAAUUGGCAGCAUGUGCCUGGCAUUUCAGGAUUGACAUGGACCGGUGACUACUGUGUUCCUUCCCAUUCCCCACCCUUUUGUGUAGGAUUGUCUGUAGCAGUUUCCCAAUGCCUGUUCCUCCACUUGACGUUGGGUAUUUGGAGAACAAGAAAAAUUCUCUUUUUAGGUCAGAUGUGUGACAUGUAUCACAUUGUAAAAAAGAGUGCUCAAUGAGCUGUAUUUCAGGAAUUGCACUUAAGGGGAAUUAUUUUUACCUAUAUUGGAUUAAUAUGAUAAGAUUUUGAACUUUGAGCUUAUGUAAUUAUGAAGUGAGACCUUUAGUCUUGGGGAAUGACUGUAUUUUAUAUGCGAGAGGUAUAUAAAUCACUGUGGCCUGAAGAUAGACUGUGGCAGAUUGUAUUUUUCAAAGAUUUCCUGUCACACUUUUUUUUUAUUCUUUAUUUUUCUCUUUCUUUCUCUUUCCUCUUUCUCUUUCCCUUCCUCCCUUCCUUCCUUCUUUCCUUCCUUCCUUCCUUCCUUCCUUCCUUCCUUCCUUCCUUCCUUCCUUCUUUUCUUUCUUUCUUUCUGAGAGGGUCUCACUCUGUUUCCUGGCUAGAGUGGUGUCACAUUCAUAGCUCACUGUAGCUCAAACUCCUGAGUGCAAACAAUCCUCCUACAUCAGCCUCCCAAGUAGCUUGGACCACAGGUGUGCAUCCACUCCUGGCUAAUUUUUUAAUUUUAAUUUUUGUAGAGACGGGGUCUCACUUUGUUGCUCAGACUGAUCUUGAAUUCCUGGCUUCAAGAGAUCCUGCUGCCUCAACCUCUAAACUUGCUGGGAUUGCAGGUGUGAACCACCAUGCCCAGCUACUUUCUUUUUCUUACAAUAUGCCUUUGAUGCUCUUCCCAUCAAGAGGUAUUCCUUUCCCUUGAAUAUGGGCAAGGCUGUGAUUAUUAAUGCUAUAUGACUUUUGAGAGUAGGUCAUGAAGCAUGAUACAUUUUCCUAGUUCAUUUAGGAUGCUUGCUCUUAAUACCUAGCCCCUAUGCUUGUAUAAGUCCAAGAGACCUGUUGUGGGGAGGCUCACAUGAAGAAGAACGCAGGCACCUAGCCUACAGUCUGAUUGAGCUCUCAUCUGAUAACCCAUAAGAACUUGAGAGCCUUGUGAGUAAACCAUCUUGAAUCUUUCAGGACCCAGUUGAAACACUUCAGCUGAUGCUGCAUGGAUCAUUGCGGAUUUGUGAGCAAAAUAAAUUAAUAUAGCUUUUUGUUUUAAUUAAACAAUAUUUUUUGAGACAAGAUCUCAUUUUGUCACCCAGGUGGGAGUACAGUGGCACAUUCACAGAUCACUGUAGCCUCAAAUUCCUAAGCACAGGAGGUCCUCCCACCUCAGCCUCCCCAGUAGCUGAGACCACAGCAUGUGCCACUGUGUCUGGCUAAUUUUUUAUUUUUUUGUAGAAACGGAGUCUUGCUAUGUUGCCCAGGCUGGCCUCAUGUGAUCCACUUGCCUCAGUCUUCCAAAUUGUUGGGAUUACAAGUGUGAGGCACUGCACUGAGCCCAAUAUUCCUUUUUAAGCUACUAAGUUUUGGACUGAUUUGCUUCCCAGCAGUAUACGAUUGAUAAAACACAGAAUAUAGAAUAAAAUUAAUCUCUUAUGUUGUCCUAUGAGGCUUUGUGAGAUUUAGUUUCUACCAACACCCCAAAGUCAUGUCAUACCAUUUUUCACUGUGCUUACUUUGCUUCACUGACUUUUCUCCUGUUUUCUAAAACUAGCUAGUUCUUAUCUUCAGGCUUUGUCAUUGUCAUUCCCUGCUGAGAAUAUUGUCUGUCCAAAUCUUGUAAUUCAGACUCAAAAAUAGUCUGUGGCCACUCAAUCUAAAGUAACCCACCACAAACUCUAGCCCAUCUCCCUAUUUAUUUUCAUCAUGAUAUUUAUAUCUAUCUCAUCUAAAUUUUAUCUAUUUGUCAUCUAUCUAAUUGAAAUUUCAUGUUUCUUUACUACUAAUACGCAAGCUCUGUUAAGACAGAAGUAUUUAGUUUAAUUAGAUCCCAUUUGUCAAUUUUGGUUUUUGUUGCCAUUGCUCUUGGUGUUUUAGACAUGAAGUCUUUGCCCAUGCCUAUGUUCUGAAUGGUAUUGCCUAGGUUUUUGUCUAGGAUUUUUAUGGUUUUAGGUCUAACAUUUAAGUCUUUAAUCCAUCUUGAAUUAAUUUUUGUAUAAGGCGUAAGGAAGGGAUCCAGUUUCAGCUUUCUACAUAUGGCUAGUCAGUUUUCCCAGCACUAUUUCUUAAACAGGGAAUCCUUUCCCCGUUUCUUGUUUUUGUCAGGUUUGUCAAAGAUCAGAUAGUUGUAGAUAUGUGGCAUUAUUUCUGAGGGCUCUGUUCUAUUCCAUUGGCCUAUAUCUCUGUUAUAGGGACACUUUUACACUGUUGGUGGGACUGUAAACUAGUUCAACCACUGUAGAAGUCAGUGUGGCGAUUCCUCAGGGAUCUAGAACUAGAAAUACCAUUUGACCCAGCCAUCUCAUUACUGGGUACAUACCCAAAGGAUUAUAAACCAUGUUGCUAUAAAGACACAUGCACACGUAUGUUUAUUGUGGCACUAUUCAUAAUAGCAAAGACUUGGAACCAACCCAAAUGUCCAACAAUGAUAGACUGGAUUAAGAAAAUGUGGCACAUAUACACCAUGGAAUACUAUGCAGCCAUAAAAAAUGAUGAGUUCAUGUCCUUUGUAGAGACAUGGAUGAAGCUGGAAACCAUCAUUCUCAGCAAACUAUUGCAAGGACAAAAAACUGAACACCACAUGUUCUCACUUGUAGGUAGGAAUUGAACAAUGAGAACACAUGGACACAGGAAGGAGAACAUCACACACCGGGGCCUGUUGUGAGGUGGGGGGAGCGGGGAGGGAUAGCAUUUGGAGAUAUACCUAAUGUAAAUGACGAGUUAAUGGGUGCAGCACCCCAACAUGGCACAUGUAUACAUAUGUAACAAACCUGCACGUUGUGCACAUGUACCCUAGAACUUAAAGUAUAAUAAAAAAAAAAGAAAAAAAAGAAAGACAGAAGUAUUGUUCAUCUUGUUUUCUUCCCUAAUCACGUUACCUAGAACAGUGCCUAUCAGAUAGUAGGCACUCCACAAAUAUUUGUUGACUUAAUGAACCAGUGGAAAUAAAUAUUAAUUCAGUUUUACAUUACACAGCAAAAUAGAAAUCCAAUAUUUAAUCCAGUUCAUAUUACAAAAUAAUACCUUCUUUUUAAAAAUUAAAUCCAUUAAAUUGACAUAGAAAAAUCUUCACCAUCUCAUGACUUUAUAAAAACAAAAUUGGUUUCUAUACCACUUGGAUUAUUUCUACAAAUUCUAUUUAUAUGGUUUGUGUCAAUAAACCAUAGAAAAUAAAAUUUUCAAAUAAAACUUAUAUAUUUGUUAUUUGAUCUUGUUCUACUUAUAUGAAUCUUUUAUUUCAUGCAAAUAAAACCCAAAAUAUGAUUCAGCAACUUUCAGUCUGUUUUUAGAGGCAGAGUCUUGAUAUUUCACCCAGGCUGGAGUGCAGUGUCACAAUCAUGGCUCACUUCAGGCUCAACCUCCUAGGCCCAAAAGAUUUAUUCACCUCAACCUCCUGAGUAGCUGGGAUUACAGGUGUGCACCACCAUGCCUGGAUAAGUUUUAUAGUUUUUGUAGACACAAGGUCUCGCUAUACUGCCCAGGCUGGUCUGGAACUCCUGGACUCAACUAAUCCUUCCACCUCAGCCUCCCAAAGUAUUGGAAUUACAGGUGUAAUCCACCAUGCUUGGCCAAUUUUCAUUCUUUAAUGUUAGGCUUUGAGUUUAGUAUCAAACUUUAAAACAAAAGCAACAACAACAAAAAACAAAAAACAUUUCCAAAAAAGAAAAAAAGUACUGGUAGCAGUCAAUAAAAGAAAAGACUCCAAUUUCCAGGAAUUUGGAAUGUGGAAUCCUGGCAUUAUAGAGAUACAGCUUUUUCAUCUAAUUAAUGUAUAAAAUAGUCAAUACUUUCAUUUUAUUUUCUUGGAGUUUACUCCUUUUCACCCUGAAGCCUGGGUAACAAAGCAAGUGCACAAAAAUCGUUAGAAUAACACUUUUCAACAAGAAGCAGUCCCAAAGUAAGUGAAAGGAAUUUCUUUAGUGAUUUUCUCCCUGAGGGGGAGCAGUAGUCUGAAAUCUCACUGGUAUCUAUUCUGAAAGAAUCAGGGGAUUUAUUUAUGUCAUAAUCUAGUAUUUGCAGCCUGCUUUGAUUUUCCUCGGGAUUUCCUUGGAUAUAUUUUACUGAGAGAAGUGUGAAAAGUACUUCUGAUUUGAGAAGCAUGAAAAGAAAGCCUCAGGCCAGGAGACCAUCUUCUACUCUGAGUCAUCCAUUUGCCUGUUCUGAACAACCUCUACUAUUGGCUCUUGCACAAAGAUCUCCUGAGAGUAGUUGUUGGUAGACUCUAAUUGCCUACUAUUUUUAACUCAUUCCCUUACUCCUUUGAUAAGAGUUGAGAGCCCAAGACUUUAAUGGAUUUUGCACGUAUGUCUUAUUCUAUUUACCUAAUCAUAAUGCAAUUUCACUUCAGCACAAACACAGCCAUAGCAAUCAUGACUUAAUUUUAAUUCCUAACUCACUGUAAGUAAGCCAGCUUAUGCUUUUACUAACCAAUUUCCAAUGCAUAUAAAUAAUAACACAUAUUUGGCAUAUCACAGUGCUUAGCUCUUUCUGAUGAGCAAAAGAUUAUAUAUUUAUUGGUGCUUAUCUUGAUGUUUCACAAGAUUUUUCAUUUAUUUCUAUACUGUUCCCUUAGGUUACUAGGUGCAGUCACUUUCCCUACCACCUGCUUUCCACUAUCUGCUCCUUAUCUUUUUCUUUAGAACCUUGCUUCACCUUCUUCCUCUAUUUGUGACCGCUCUGCAGGUGAUCAGGCUUCCUCCACUUUCCUUACCUUCUGAUUGUCUCAUACCAUCUUCCAUCAUUUUCCACACAUAUUACUUGCUUUAUACCAUACUGUAUUUGUAAAACACAUAAAAGAUUGCUAGUAUUUUUAUUUUAUAGAUGAUGAAACUGAAGUAUGAAAGAUAAAUGACUCACCAGAGGCUAUGAUUUGUGGGCCUUUUAGUGGGUUUAAUAGGAGGAAAGCAAAGGUGAAAUGCCAGAAUAGCGAAGGUGGAGAAAUUUGAGAUGAGUGAUAGAGACCUAAGAAAGUGGCAGUUAAAAUGGUCCAGGGCAUAAAAUGAUGUGAGGAAUAGUAGAAAGAAAAGGAGAAAAAUACCUUAAAAUUGAUGACUCUUCUGUCCUAAUAACUUCAAAGUGCAUUUCAAUUUGAAACCUUUAUCACCUCAUUGCGUGGAGGAGACAAAGGAAAGAAAACAUACAGAGCAUUUGUCUCUUCCUGAAGUUUCCUCAAUUCAUAAAAUCCCUAAGACACUAAGAGAAGAAAAUACUGUGAACAUGUUUAGUUUGAUAUUGGUUAUUGUCAUUUCUUUUCAUUCCUUCAAAUACAUUUUAUAAAUUCAAUUUCACAUAUUAUUUAACCUCAUCUACCUGACAUGAUAUUGUUCUCCUGACACAUCCUGUUUAUUAAAUAUUAAUCACAUAUUUUACUGGUUCCAAAUUAUGCUUUUAUUAUACUUGCUUAUUUGCAGGCGGGGGCUGGGGAAAGGGGGAGUGACUUUCAAUAGAAUCGGGAUCUCUAGUAUGAUCACCCGCAUGAUGACAUCAUCAACAGUAGACUUAAGAAUCCUGUUGGCUCCACUUGCUCUAAAUUUAUCAGUUUCCUCUGGUUCUCUCUAUCAGCCUUAAGGUUGGGUUCCUGUUCAAUACUUUCUUUCUUUUUUUUUUUUUUCUUACUUGUAGGGCCAAUGUGUAGAGCUGCCGACUUUCUUAAUAAUGCAAAUCCAAGGGGUGCCCCUAGCAUUCUGAAAUACGCAAACUUCAAAAACAUAUCUAAUAACCCUGCAUCAGCUCCAUAUAACAGUUUUAAUUAGGGCCCUUAGCAGGGCAUACACUAAUUACUGCAAAGAGCAAACAAAACUAAAAUGAGUAAUAAACAGAAAAUUUAUUUGAUGAGUAUCUACAAUGGGGCAGGUUCAAGGUGUGUUAUAAAUGUUGUGAACUCAAAAGUGGAUAGUAAAGAGCCAGCCCCACUCUCAUGGAGCUUACAUUUUAGUAUGGGUAGGGGCCAAUAAUAAUCAAAUCAAACCAAAUCAAACAAGAUGUUGAAAAGUAAUAAAUGCUAUGAAGAAAAAUAAAAUAGUAUAAUAUCAUAGAAUAGAGAGACAUGGACGCUGUUUUAGGGAAAAAAUGUUACGGGUAUAUAAGCAGAAAAGCAGAUACUCUGAUAAGAGGAUAUAUGAACUGAAAUCUGAAUGAAGCGAAUUAAGUGAGCCUGCCAUGUAAGAAGUAGGAUUUUGGGACAGGGGAAUAGCAAGUGCAAAUAUCCUGAGACAACAGUGUGCUGAGAGUGCUUAAGAAAUAGCAAGGGGGCUCUGUGGCAGGGGUGAAGUGGGCAACAAGUAGAAUGAUAAGAAAUGAUGACACAGAGGAAGCCAGAGAUAAGACCGAGUUCUGACAUUCUUAUAAGCCAUAAUAAGAAUUUUAUUCAAUGUAUGAUAGGAAAUCAUUGAAAGAUUUUAAGCAAGAGUAACACUAUCUGAUUUGCCAUUUAGAAGUCAUUAAGAGGUCAAGAAAUUCUAUAAUUGCUGGUAUGUUCAGAAUAGACUGAGUGAUACAAUAGAGGAAGCAAUGAGGCAAGUUAGGAGGCUACAGAAGUUGUCCAGGUUAGAAAUGAUGGUGUGACUUCAAUGGUAGUGGAGGUAGGGAGAAGGGUGCAAUAAGAACAUAUGCUUAAGGUAGCUCUUGUUACCUUUACUCUGACUGCUAUUCACUGAGGGAUUAGUUAUGAGGUAGGAGAGAAAGAGGGAUGAAAUGUGAUUGUAAGGUUCUAACCCUGAGCAACUAGAUGAAUGGUGAUACCAUUUUCUAUGAUGGGUAACAUUGAAAGACGAAAGUUUGAAAGCAGAUGAUAAUAGGAAUCAAUAUAUUAUGCCUGGAGAUGUUGAGUUGAGUUUGAGGUGCUUACAAGACAAUUUAAUUAGAGAUAAUUGUGGUUUGUAACAGGGAAAGAGGUACUUUUGCAAUGUGCAUGUGGUCACUUAUCUGCUGACUCAACUUGCUGGUGUGAGGAAGCAGCUAACUCUCAGAAAUUUAGGUAGUGUGAAAGAGAAGGCAAGUAUCUAGUAGUAGAGACUAUUUUCACUGUUUGAAUUAUUAUGGAUAGACUGACAGUGGGAAUAUUAUUAAAAUAUGUGACAAGGAAUUCCAGUCAUAAUUAAAGUAAAUAUUUUGCCAGAAAUGAUAACAAAUACCUUUGCACAGAGUUCCCAUUGGUCCCGAAACCUGAAGGUGCUGGCAGUGCCUUUAAGAGGCUAUAGAAUAUGAUCUGCUGUAGUUUUGCUGAGCUUGUUAAAAAUAACCCUUGGCCAGACACAUGCCAUCCUUCAGAAUUAAGUAGAUCCCUCAGCACCUGCUUCCUGUACCCUGUCUUCUGUUACCAUGUGCUUUCUCAGAUACUAAUGGGUUCUUGGCUUUUGCUUCUAGGUAUAAUUGUGAUCUCUUCCCAGGAAAAAGGUAAUGAUCCUGGAACAAGAUAUAUAUGCCUGGUAUAUAUUUAUUAUCUUACAAUUGAGCUUUCAUUACCAAUAAGAGUUCUCUUACCUUGAGUCCUCACCCUGUGCUAAGCUCUUGCAAAACACAUCCCAGAUUUUAUCUCAUUUAAUCCUGGCAACAGUGGUACAAGGCAAAACCUGGUAUUAUUCUCAUUUUUUAUUUAGAGAAAUAUAAUUGUAAAGAAAUUAAGUAAAUUGUGCAAGGCCUCACAGUAAGUUGUAGGACAAUAAAGACGCAACAGGUGCCAUCUACCUCUAAUGGCUGACCACUUACUAUAUUAAAUUGUUCUUGUGAGCAUGGGAGAAUCUUGGGGAAACUAUUAUACAGACUGCUGGAGGUAUGUGACUGGUUACUUUGAAAUUGAACUCUAAUGUGGUCCCAAGAAUUUUUGAAAUCUUGAAAGAGAGUAGAACUUCCAGUAACCCUUCAGAUGUUUCAGAGAAAAUAUCAGGUUUCUGUUUUAAAAUAGAGGUAAUAAACACAUUUUUAAGACAGGCUCUUUUAUUCUAGAAAAAUCUCUUGAGAUAUAUAACUAAACAAAUAAAAGACAGACUCCGAUAUCAGAAAAGCAAUUACAGACCCUUCAUUAUAAGAAGUAAAAAUUGCUCUAUACAAUAGUAGAAAAUAUGGUCACUGUGGUACAUCUCUGCAGCCUGACAUCUGAUUUUUGUUGCUGUUAAUAGAAUGAGACUUGGCUGUUCUAAAAAACUACAGCUUGUCCUGUGGAGAACUGUGAUUACUUCUGAUGGAAAAUGACAGGCUGAAUGCCAGAAGGCAAAGCAACUGUUUUCCUAAGAGUCUUAAGACCCUGAAGGACUUGUGCCUCCUUUGGUGAUCUAGGGGAUAAAGAAGUGGAAUGGAAAUGGAGAGGAAUAGCUGGAACAAAAAGGCAAAGAGGUAUAAUCUAUCAUAAAUAUGCCGCCUUUAUAAGCAUGUGUGUACCAAAAAAAAGCCACAAACCAUAUAAAGUGAGCCUAUAUUAGAAAUAGAAGUAUUUUAUGAAAUAAUAUAUUUAAAAUUUCCAGUAAACAGAAUAUAAAUUUUUCCCAAAUACCCAUAAUAUAUUUACAAUAUUAGAAAAAAAUGCAAGCAGAAUUUAUGUAAAUUAUAUUAAUGGAAUUAACGGAAUAAAAUUAGAAGUUAAAAUUAAAAAUAGCCAAAAUUAAUAUUUGAAAAUAAAAAUAUUUUGUUAUUUGUGUUAAAGGGGAAAUCAAAACUAAAAUUAGAUAUUAUUUAAAAAUGAAUCUUACUAUAUAUCAAAUCACAUAAUAUCAAAAUCAUACUCUAAAGAAAUUUUGUAGCCACAGAUGUAUAUUUUUAGUCUGAUAAAUGAAAUCUGCAUUCACCUCAAGAAGCUAGCGAAACAACAAAACAUUAAGAACUAAAAUCAACAUAAUUUCUGGUCACUUUGUUAAAUAAAAUUGAAACCAGAAUAUUUCCUUGUACCUCUAUUAAGUUAAUACCAAGAACAAGCAAAAAUAAAGCAAUUACUUGUUCUAGAAAAUAUUUUCUCUUUGGAAAUAAGACGAAUAACCAGCUAAAAUAGGUUUUUAAUCAAAACUAACAAAAGUGUUGAUCAAUACUCAUUUCAAGAUCCUGGCUUCAUGGUGCCCAUCAAUCCAAAACUACUUCCUAGACCCUGUUGAAUCUCAACCAACUUCCCCCCUGUCAAGACUAGCUUUAAAAUCACUCAUGAAGGUAUGAGAUUCUAAUAAACAUCUCCCUUUCCCUCUGACUUCUCCUUCUUGAGACACUACACUUGUACUCUAUUAAGGUGAUAGUUUUUCUUCCUGCAAUAGGUCACAUAAACUUAGCUGUCUUCAUCAAUAUUUCUGAAGGUAUUUUGUGAAGUUAACAGCAAUGGAAGAGAAAUAAAUCAUAAAUAUUUGAAAACCAGUUAUUUUAAUAAAAAAAGAAGUGUCUUUUUUUUUAACAGAAUUGCAAAUAACAUAUGGAGAUACUGUGCUCCCAGGAGGUGGAGAUGAAUUAUUAUCCUUUCUUCACACCUUCCCAUUGAGAUUGGGCUAGAUUUGCUGAUAUUUUUCAAAAAAAUAGUGCAGUGAAAAAAAAAAAGGUGCAUUGUUUUAGUACAAGAAACUUGGCACAUUCUACCUCAACCAAAUGAUGAAAGUUAACAUCACAGAUUCCAUGUGGACAUUACUACCUCCCUGGUAUGAUGUGAUGAGAAAGGCAUUUCCCUCUGUGGUAUUAUUUCAAAUGACUGAUAAUUCUGGUCUAAUCAGGAGAAAAACAACACAGAUCCAUUGGAGACUUUCAACAGGACACCUGCCCAGUAUGCCUCAAGACUUUCAAGGUCAUGAAAACCAGAAAGGAGAGAUAAACAAUCACAGAUUAAGACAUUGUGGAAAUUGAACAAUCAGAAGCAAUGAUGUAGCCUAGAUUAAAUCCUAAAUCUGUAAGAGGACAUUGAUGGAAAAACUGGUGACAUCCAAAGAAGUCUUGAAUUUAGUUACAGUAAUAUCCUAAAAGAAAAAAAAUUGAAAUUGAAAGCAAAAUAAAGUACUUCACAAAUAAAUGAGAAAUACAUCAGAUAAUUCAGAUUAUAAACAAAGAGAAAAAAUCAAUUAG
rnacentral:lncRNA from 1 species